rnacentral:rRNA from 1 species
AUUGAACGCUGGCGGCAGGCCUAACACAUGCAAGUCGAACGAGUGGCGGACGGGUGAGUAGUGUCUGGGAAACUGCCUGAUGGAGGGGGAUAACUACUGGAAACGGUAGCUACUACCGCAUACCAUCAGAUGUGCCCAGUUGGGUUUAGCUUGUUGGUGGGGUAACGGCUCACCAAGGCGACGAUCCCUAGCUGGUCUGAGAGGAUGAACAGCCACACUGGAACUGAGACACGGCCCAGACUCCUACGGGAGGCAGCAGUGGGGAAUAUUGCGCAAUGGGCGCAAGCCUGACGCAGCAAUGCCGCGUGUAUGAAGAAGGCUUUCGGGUUGUAAAGUACUUUCAGCGGGGAGGCGUUACCCGCAGAAGAAGCACCGGCUAACUACGUGCCAGCAGCCGCGGUAAUUC